UUAUACAGUGUUUUUUCAGUCUCUUUUUGUAACUUUUGGCUCCUAUUAGACGGUGCUUAUACAAUUUAACCAUUUAUUAUUAUUGUCUGCUCUUGAAGAAGAUUGUCAGAAUUCAUUUGCUUAAGUAAAUUACACUCCAAAGCAAAAUCAUUUAAUGUUAAUUGAGUGUUUGAGUCCACCCUCUGAAACUGGUAUGUCGUUUCCUCUCCUGUAAUUGGGCUGUCCGUGAAUUGUCAGAUACAAAGAGGAAAAUUAGUUAUUGCUGGAAGAAGAUGACUCAAAGCGUUUCAGCAGCAAACAAUGAAAGCUGUGUUUCAUAAUGGCAGCAGAAUAAAGUUGCUUUUAAGUCUCCGAUCUGAUUCAAAUAGGAUGUAUGAAAUGUUCUUUUGUGGGGUAGAAACCUAUUCAGGGAGAAGAAUUCACGCUUGCAGUAGCUUUUAAUCAGCUCUGUGUAGGUGCGCUUCACUUUUGAGAGGUCUGAGAGAGCACACGUGAACCAACUGGUGCGGGUCUUGUGUGAUAUCAUCGUUCAUCAGCUGUGUCAGGGCUCUGCAGUCACACCGUGGCAUUUGGCAAAUGAAGUUUUGUUCAAAGGAGGAGUGCGGUGGUGGAAUCCAGAAAAAAUAGCCAGUGAAAUUGUUAACUUAAGAGCUUUGUCUCUUGGCCGUGGCCUUUCCAUUUGCUUUAAAUGUUUGUCGCUCUUCCUGCAAGAGAAGAGCAGGGGAGGUAGUGUUUGUCAGCCAUGUUGUGUCCCCGCUCUGCUCUCCAGCUUCUGUUGGCAUAACGCGUGUUGCACGUGCAGAGCCUUUCCUUUCAGUGCCGCCUCGGGUGCAGGCCGGCAGCGGGCAGUGCUGGGUCGGUCCGCUCGGUCAGGGCAGCGGUGCUGGGCCUCAGCCCGCCCGAGCGGGAGCCUCGAGGAGCACGAGGCGCCUGAGGGGCGGGGACACACAGCGGGAGCGUGGAGGGGGCGGGUGCGCGAGGUGCAGCGCGAGGCUGGCUGCGGGCAGCAGGGGCGCUGUGCCCGGGGUGGGCUCCGCAGCUUGAGGAUGUCAGGGGACCAGUCUGCAUCUUCAUGAGUUUCUGCAGAGGACUGCGGGUCAAAACUUGGGCUGGCUUCCUUGUCCAGCUCUGCCAGUGAUGUGCACUCUGCAGUGUUAAUUUUCACUCAAACCAACACUAGGAGUAAGAAGCGGACAUUUAACUUGAGUGUUCUUGAGACAUCUAUCAAUAUCUGCAGCAAGACCCCAUCUUACAAAGAAAUAAGUUUAUUCCGCGAACAGGAAGGAAGACAACACUCCUGGUCUUCCUCCUCUUCAUAUACCAGCAAGAUUUCAGGAUGGCAAUCUUUGAUGAGAUUCUGAAACAUCAAAUCAGGAAACGAUGGGAGUAAGCUAAUUUCUUCCUGAGAUAAGACAGAGAAAGAGCAUCAUUGCAUGUCUGAUGGAAAACAGAAAACAAGUGAGAAAGUCUGGACUGUGCUGUCACACAGAGCAGCUGCCCCUCCCCCAGAUCACACGCUGUGCCCUUGCAGAGCCUUCCCCAUGGCCAGACCCCCAGCCCCUCCCGCCUGCACUGCAGCUGCAGUCCCUCUCCUGAUGCUGGCACAACACUGCCGCAGUCUCUUGUUGCCAAAGAAUGGAACCGAGCCUCUUCAGCGAAGCGGGACCGUGUAUUGUCUGUUUGUGUAUUUUGUUGGGGUUUGUGCUUCUACUCCUGAGAUGCCUUUGACUUGCGAUGAGAAGGUUACCUCGUACCUUCUAAUGUCACCCUGAUUUGACAGGCACUUUUCAGCUCAGUAAUUAUAUACACAAAUAGCAUGCCAUCAAAAUGUACGGUUAAAAUAUUUUUUUAAAAUUCUUGCAGCUUGUCUGCUUGUGCAGAAAUUUCUACACCUAUAGACAAGAACUUCAGUAGCUAAAUUGUCUUUGCAUUGCACUGAGCUUCUCCAGAGUCCUUGUAGAUGUUCAAAAAUAAUUCCAAAAUACCUUAGAAAUAAGUAUGCAAAGAACUAGCGCUCUGAUUUUGAAAAUACCUGAGACCAAGUGGGAAAGUGUCUAAGAAGUAAUGCCAGGCAGCAGCUUGCUACCCACUACAUUCACAAUGCAAAAUGUGACCUCUUCCCUCCUUCCCUUCUUCUAUCAGAGGUGCUGCUUUUAACUAAUACACUUCAGAGCCCAGUGAUGAAAAAGUCUUUCUUGUGAGCAGUAUGGAGCCACUGCCAGCUCUCAUGUUAUCCCACGUACGUUAGCAGUGAUCAUCCCUAUAAAAAUGUGCACAUUUCGUUAACUGCUGUCGUUUAUUUCAGUGCACUUAUUGCUAUAAAACAUCAAAGAUGGUUUAAUUAAGAGCUUAAAUUUUUUAUACCGUGAAGUAGAAAUAUUUAUGAAAGACCUCAUCAGAGGCAGAAUAUUAAAACAAAACAGGUGUUUUAGCAGAAGCACAAAUAAAAUGUCUAUCAGUAAACAUUAAAAAAAAUCAAUUAUUCAUCGUGGUUCUUUUAAUUCCUGUUGAAUUGCCGUCCAAAGAUUUUGUGUCUAGCACAGUAUAUGGCUCUGCAGUAUUCUCUUAUCUUGCCUCUUGGCCUUCCUAUUUCUGUCCUGGAGUGCAGCUUAAUACAUUAUCUGCAUCUUCAGAAAAGUUCUUGGGAUCAAACUGAGAUGAAGGUUAUAAACAAAUAGAGCCAAGUGUCUGAAUUCCUUCCUAAGUGCUCUGUUGGAAGAGAUGACUUUGCCAUUUCUUUGGCACAAGCAAUUUUUCACUCUUAAUGUUAGUAUUUCUUCACUGUUGAACACACCAAACCCCAGAACUUCAUUAUGAACCCUUUGGUGGUCUGUAGAACGGUAUGAUGAUUUCUAGCUCUGGCUCACAUUUCUAUUGCUAGAAUGAAAUCAGAUGAAGUUGUCUCUCUGAUGCACCUUAGGCUUCUUGCCCAGUCUGGUUAGGAGAUAUCUGUGAGCUGAGAGAAGAAUGUGAGGUUGUCCCCUGCCCCUACCUCACCUGCUAAAUUCUGAAUUAUGUAUAGUUUGCUCACAAACGUUAAGGAAAAUAUUGCUUUUGGUUCUAUUGAAAGAAUGACUGGGUCAACAAGAUUAAUGUUACAAAAUCUCUGCUUUAUUUGUGAAGAGAAAAAUUGUGUUUAAUUGUCUUCCAAGUUUUUAAUUAUCUCUAACCGUUUGAGCCCAGAGCCUACCUCUGUACCCUGUGCUCAGCAGAGGGCCACCAGCUGUGCUGGAGCUGGCUGAUUCACAACAGGUGGCAAUAAGUAGAGCUGCAAUCAUGGUGAUUAACAGGUGGGAGGGAGAUGUUCUACUAUUUGUAGCUCUGAGAACCUGUUCCAGAAAAGUGCAAGUUUUCAUUGCUGGUUGAGAAGGGUGACAAGGUCUGUGUGAGGUGUGGCUAGAACUGAGAGGGAGGUGGAGCAGGGGUGGGGGAGGGAGCCAGGUGUUCCCAAUCACCUAUAAAAAGCUCUGAAGAGGGCUGAAGGGUGCAUCUGUGUUGUAGGUGCACUGGGAUGAGAUGCUUGUACCUUCUCCAACUGGAAAAGUUUGUUUUUUUUUGUGUGUGUAUGUGUGUGGAAAACUGGUCUGUCCUAGUCAGAACCUCACUAGCUGUGAGAUGGACUCUACGCGCCUGCUCUGCAGCAGAUGAGAAUACAAAGGGUUCUGGCUUCCUUGGAAAGGAGUGAGAAGGAUGUCUUUCUGUGAACCUUUUGCACAUCUCUUUGGAUGAGAAGGAGCAAAGUGGUGCUGCUGCUGCUUCUGGGAGCGAUUGGUCUGCUAAAGAGUCUUGUAUCAUUGUCCCGAUAUUAGCGUCUGGAUGAAUCUUUGCUCGGCAGAUGGGCUUCCUCUCGUGAGUCAAAGCCAGGUGGGAAUAAUUUUGCAAUGUGGAGGACUCCUAAAAUGGAAGCUGAUUUGGAGAACUUGUCUGACAGAGGCAAUGGCACUUCAGUUUGAGGACCUGGACCAGCCCGAAUGAAGUGAGCAUUUCCUGGAUCUCAGCCUUCAGCCUUUCCACACUCGGGUCUAUGGAAUAUAAAGUCUUUAAAUCUGAAAGAACCUGAACUCGAUCUGGCCUGUUUCUGUUAAAUAUUGCCAACAUACGAGAUACUUCUUUGGAGUCUCUGCUUUCACAGAGUGUGCAGCAUACAGUUAAACCUGAAACGGUUAAAGAUCGCAAGUCACUCAGAAUCCAAUGUCCUCAUCAGUGCUCCACUGCCAUCUACCCCACGGCUGUCAGCCACGCCGUGUCCUGUCCCUGCUGGCUGCGCAGCGAUGCCGGUGAUGUGCCUGCACGGGUGCAGCGAUGGAAACCCCAGGUGCGUCACCUCCUCUGAGGCUGCUCGAGUUGCUCUUCAGCGCUCCAAGGGGGAAGAAAGACCUGAGAAACAACAUGGCUUCGUAUGAAUGAUAAGACUCCAGUUUGUGCUGCAAUGGCUGCUCGCCAUCAGAUCUGCCUCCUAACGGAUGGGACAGAGAUGCAGGCAGGGUGGAGGGGCCGCAAAGGCGACUGAUGGAGAAGUUUCUUUGGAGCUUGCCACUCUUUUUGCUUCAUUUGUAUUUCAUUAAGCAUGAAAUUAUGUUUAUAAUUGUAUCAGACAACUGUGUGAGAUAUUAGAUCGUAAGCCCAGACUGAAUUAAAGCAAUUUUUAAUUAGUUA